rnacentral:tRNA from 1 species
GCCUGUCUAGCUCAAGGGGUAGAGCAUGUGACUUUAGAUCUUGGGGUCAUGAGUUCAAGCCCCAAGUUGGGCA